rnacentral:lncRNA from 10 species
AGGCAGCAGAAAACUGCAGACUUAAAUGUCCCUGUCUGACAGCUUUGAAGAGAGUAGUGGUUCUCCUAGCACGCAGCUGGAGAUCUGAGAACGGACAGACUGCCUCCUCAAGUGGGUCCCUGACCCCUGAGUAGCCUAACUGGGAGGCACCCCCCAGUAGUGGCAGACUGACACCUCACACGGCCGGGUACUCCUCUGAGACAAAACUUCCAGAGGAGCGAUCAGGCAGCAACAUUUGCUGUUCACCAAUAUUCGCUGUUCUGCAGCCUGCCUUGCUGAUACUCAGGCAAACAGAGUCUGGAGUGGACCUCCAGCAAACUCCAACAGACCUGCAG